AUGUUAUUACUAGUCUGUUGGUUUCUCAUGUCAAAUCUUUCAGGUAGAUAUGGAUAUAGAAGAUGGAGAUGCUGCAGGUACCUUAUCUGGAUCAGAAGAAAGGAGUCAGAUCACAGUGCCUCUAAGAGAUUUUUCACCUGAUGGAACAUUUUGCAAAACGAAAUAAGAUGGUUCUUACUCUUAAAUAUACAGAGUGCUGCGAAGGGAAAUAACAAGAUUUGGACCUGAUCAAUUUUUCUGACAAAUCCUACAUACAUGAUCCGGGCUAUUCCAAGCAAUGCAGCUGACAAUGUGUAUUGUACACUCAUUGCUCAGAGUGCUGUUCAUGGAGCUAUGGCCGGGUACACAGGCUACACAAGUGGGCUUGUUAAUGGCAGACAAACUUAUAUUCCUUUCUAUGUAAGUUCUUCCGGAUCCUAUAGUUAGUUCUAUGAUUGCACUCUGUUAAUAAUAAGGGGUAUUGUCUGUGAAGCUCUUGUAUUUACUCGGAGAAGAGUAGGAAAGAAGUAAAGGGUAUGGUAUGGAAUCCAACUCCGAACAUAAUUGUAAUCCCAGAUUAAUGCUGUUUGUUACGAAGUAAUAAUGCCCAAUCAGAAAUGGAUAGCUAAUUUGUAUUAAUAUUAUUAUUAUUAUUUUUUAUUUUAUCAAAUCUUAAUUGCCAAAAGACGACAACUACAAUUUUAUUGAUGUCAAUUUGUGAACUUCCUGUGAGCCAAUUUGUUUUGAUUUAUGAAACAUUGAGCCCACUUGAAAGGAUCAGAUGCUUUCUGGUUAUUUGAAUCUGUUGUAGCCUCCCUUCCUUAAUAGUCACAAGAAUGCGCUUAGACUUCUAUCA